rnacentral:rRNA from 1 species
CUACGGGAGGCAGCAGUGGGGAAUCUUGCACAAUGGGCGAAAGCCUGAUGCAGCGACGCCGCGUGCGGGACGAAGGCCUUCGGGUCGUAAACCGCUUUCAGCAGGGAAGAGGCCGCAAGGUGACGGUACCUGCAGAAGAAGCCCCGGCUAACUACGUGCCAGCAGCCGCGGUAAUACGUAGGGGGCGAGCGUUAUCCGGAUUCAUUGGGCGUAAAGCGCGCGUAGGCGGCCUUCUAAGUCAGAAGUCAAAUGCGGGAGCUCAACUUCCGUCUGCUUUUGAUACUGGGAGGCUCGAGUCUGGUAGGGGAAGGUGGAAUUCCCAGUGUAGCGGUGGAAUGCGCAGAUAUUGGGAAGAACACCGGUGGCGAAGGCGGCCUUCUGGGCCACGACUGACGCUGAGGCGCGAAAGCUAGGGGAGCGAACAGGAUUAGAAACCCCUGUAGUCC